UCUCCGUUGGUGAACCAGCGGAGGGAUCAUUACAGGACUCGCAAGACUCCUACAAUCCUGUGAACUUAACUAUAAGCACGUUGCUUCGGCGGGUGUCUCGGAGGGGGUUCUCCCUCCCCGAGACGCUAAACCCGCCGGCAGCCUACUAUACUCUGUCUCUUUGCGUUGGCAUCUCGAGUACAAUCAAACAAGUUAAAACUUUCAACAACGGAUCUCUUGGUUCUG
rnacentral:misc_RNA from 1 species